UACGGGGGGGGCAAGUGUUGUUCGGAAUUACUGGGCGUAAAGGGCUCGUAGGCGGCCAACUAAGUCAGACGUGAAAUCCCUCGGCUUAACCGGGGAACUGCGUCUGAUACUGGAUGGCUUGAGUUUGGGAGAGGGAUGCGGAAUUCCAGGUGUAGCGGUGAAAUGCGUAGAUAUCUGGAGGAACACCGGUGGCGAAGGCGGCAUCCUGGGCCAACACUGACGCUGAGUGCGCGAAAGCCAGGGGAGCAAACGGG
rnacentral:rRNA from 1 species